AUUGAACGCUGGCGGCAGGCCUAACACAUGCAAGUCGAGCGAGUGGCGGACGGGUGAGUAAUAUAUGGGGACUGCCCCAUAGCGGGGGGUAAACACUGGGAACUGUAGCUUAUUACGCCAUCCAUCGGAUAACCCAUAUGGGAUUAGCUAGUCGGUGAGGUAAUGGCCCACCUAGGCGACGAUCCCUAGCUGGUCUGAGAGGAUGAUCAGUAACACGGGUACGGGGAUACGGACCAAAAUCCAACGGAGGCAGCAGUGAGAAACAUUCCACAAGGAGCGGAAGCGUAAAGCAGCCAUGCGGCGUGUAUGUAAAGGGCCCUAGGGUUGUGAAGGACUUUCCGUCGGGAAGCGGUACCUACAGAAGAAGCACCGGCUAACUCCGUGCCAGCAGCCGCGGUAAUAC
rnacentral:rRNA from 1 species